rnacentral:pre_miRNA from 1 species
AGUACAAUUGCUAGGUCAUAUGGUAAUUGCACAUUUAAUUUUGUAAGAAAUUACCAAUCUGUUUUCCAGAGUGAUUGUACCAUUUUAUGUUCCCAUCAGCAAU